rnacentral:tRNA from 1 species
GGGUGGGUGGCUCAGUGGUUAGAGCCUAGGAUUCGUAACCGAAAGGUUCCGAGUUCGAAUCUCGCAAGAAGUUU